AUUGAACGCUGGCGGCAGGCCUAACACAUGCAAGUCGAGCGGAUGAGGGGUGCUUGCACCCUGAUUCAGCGGCGGACGGGUGAGUAAUGCCUAGGAAUCUGCCCGAUAGUGGGGGACAACGUUUCGAAAGGAACGCUAAUACCGCAUACGUCCUACGGGAGAAAGUGGGGGCUCUUCGGACCUCACGCUAUCGGAUGAGCCUAGGUCGGAUUAGCUAGUUGGUGGGGUAAAGGCUCACCAAGGCGACGAUCCGUAACUGGUCUGAGAGGAUGAUCAGUCACACUGGAACUGAGACACGGUCCAGACUCCUACGGGAGGCAGCAGUGGGGAAUAUUGGACAAUGGGCGAAAGCCUGAUCCAGCCAUGCCGCGUGUGUGAAGAAGGUCUUCGGAUUGUAAAGCACUUUAAGUCGGGAGGAAGGGCUGUAGGUUAAUACCUUGCAGCCUUGACGUUACCGACAGAAUAAGCACCGGCUAACUCCGUGCCAGCCGCCGCCGUAACAC
rnacentral:rRNA from 1 species